rnacentral:rRNA from 1 species
AGAGUUUGAUCAUGGCUCAGAUUGAACGCUGGCGGCAGGCCUAACACAUGCAAGUCGAACGGUAACAGGAAACAGCUUGCUGUUUCGCUGACGAGUGGCGGACGGGUGAGUAAUGUCUGGGAAACUGCCUGAUGGAGGGGGAUAACUACUGGAAACGGUAGCUAAUACCGCAUAAUGUCGCAAGACCAAAGAGGGGGACCUUAGGGCCUCUUGCCAUCGGAUGUGCCCAGAUGGGAUUAGCUAGUAGGUGGGGUAACGGCUCACCUAGGCGACGAUCCCUAGCUGGUCUGAGAGGAUGACCAGCCACACUGGAACUGAGACACGGUCCAGACUCCUACGGGAGGCAGCAGUGGGGAAUAUUGCACAAUGGGCGCAAGCCUGAUGCAGCCAUGCCGCGUGUAUGAAGAAGGUCUUCGGGUUGUAAAGUACUUUCAGCGGGGAGGAAGGGAGUAAAGUUAAUACCUUUGCUCAUUGACGUUACCCGCAGAAGAAGCACCGGCUAACUCCGUGCCAGCAGCCGCGGUAAUACGGAGGGUGCAAGCGUUAAUCGGAAUUACUGGGCGUAAAGCGCACGCAGGCGGUUUGUUAAGUCAGAUGUGAAAUCCCCGGGCUCAACCUGGGAACUGCAUCUGAUACUGGCAAGCUUGAGUCUCGUAGAGGGGGGUAGAAUUCCAGGUGUAGCGGUGAAAUGCGUAGAGAUCUGGAGGAAUACCGGUGGCGAAGGCGGCCCCCUGGACGAAGACUGACGCUCAGGUGCGAAAGCGUGGGGAGCAAACAGGAUUAGAUACCCUGGUAGUCCACGCCGUAAACGAUGUCGACUUGGAGGUUGUGCCCUUGAGGCGUGGCUUCCGGAGCUAACGCGUUAAGUCGACCGCCUGGGGAGUACGGCCGCAAGGUUAAAACUCAAAUGAAUUGACGGGGGCCCGCACAAGCGGUGGAGCAUGUGGUUUAAUUCGAUGCAACGCGAAGAACCUUACCUGGUCUUGACAUCCACGGAAGUUUUCAGAGAUGAGAAUGUGCCUUCGGGAACCGUGAGACAGGUGCUGCAUGGCUGUCGUCAGCUCGUGUUGUGAAAUGUUGGGUUAAGUCCCGCAACGAGCGCAACCCUUAUCCUUUGUUGCCAGCGGUCCGGCCGGGAACUCAAAGGAGACUGCCAGUGAUAAACUGGAGGAAGGUGGGGAUGACGUCAAGUCAUCAUGGCCCUUACGACCAGGGCUACACACGUGCUACAAUGGCGCAUACAAAGAGAAGCGACCUCGCANNNNNNNNNNAAGUCCCGCAACGAGCGCAACCCUUAUCCUUUGUUGCCAGCGGUCCGGCCGGGAACUCAAAGGAGACUGCCAGUGAUAAACUGGAGGAAGGUGGGGAUGACGUCAAGUCAUCAUGGCCCUUACGACCAGGGCUACACACGUGCUACAAUGGCGCAUACAAAGAGAAGCGACCUCGCGAGAGCAAGCGGACCUCAUAAAGUGCGUCGUAGUCCGGAUUGGAGUCUGCAACUCGACUCCAUGAAGUCGGAAUCGCUAGUAAUCGUGGAUCAGAAUGCCACGGUGAAUACGUUCCCGGGCCUUGUACACACCGCCCGUCACACCAUGGGAGUGGGUUGCAAAAGAAGUAGGUAGCUUAACCUUCGGGAGGGCGCUUACCACUUUGUGAUUCAUGACUGGGGUGAAGUCGUAACAAGGUAACCGUAGGGGAACCUGCGGUUG